rnacentral:rRNA from 1 species
GGGGAAUAUUGGGCAAUGGGCGAAAGCCUGACCCAGCAACGCCGCGUGAGGGAAGAAGGUCUUCGGAUUGUAAACCUCUGUCCUUGGGGACGAAGGACGUGACGGUACCCAAGGAGGAAGCUCCGGCUAACUACGUGCCAGCAGCCGCGGUAAUACGUAGGGAGCGAGCGUUGUCCGGAAUUACUGGGCGUAAAGGGUGCGUAGGCGGCAUGGCAAGUCAGAUGUGAAAUCCCCGGGCUUAACCCGGGAGCUGCAUUUGAAACUGUCGUGCUUGAGUGCAGGAGAGGAAAGCGGAAUUCCUAGUGUAGCGGUGAAAUGCGUAGAUAUUAGGAGGAACACCAGUGGCGAAGGCGGCUUUCUGGACUGCAACUGACGCUGAGGCACGAAAGCGUGGGGAGCAAAC